GAUGAACGCUGGCGGCGUGCCUAAUACAUGCAAGUCGAGCGAACGGACGAGAAGCUUGCUUCUCUGAUGUUAGCGGCGGACGGGUGAGUAACACGUGGAUAACCUACCUAUAAGACUGGGAUAACUUCGGGAAACCGGAGCUAAUACCGGAUAAUAUUUUGAACCGCAUGGUUCAAAAGUGAAAGACGGUCUUGCUGUCACUUAUAGAUGGAUCCGCGCUGCAUUAGCUAGUUGGUAAGGUAACGGCUUACCAAGGCAACGAUGCAUAGCCGACCUGAGAGGGUGGUCGGCCACACUGGAACUGGGACACGGUCCAGACUCCUACGGGAGGCAGCAGUAGGGAAUCUUACGCAAUGGGCGAAAGCCUGACGGAGCAACGCCGCGUGAGUGAUGAAGGUCUUCGGAUCGUAAAACUCUGUUAUUAGGGAAGAACAUAUGUGUAAGUAACUGUGCACAUCUUGACGGUACCUAAUCAGAAAGCCACGGCUAACUACGUG
rnacentral:rRNA from 1 species